rnacentral:misc_RNA from 1 species
GGGGGUGGGGUGAGGAGCUCCAGACCGGAGCAGAGCUGGAGAAUGGAAAUGGAGAUGUAGAUGGAAGAUGGAGAUGAUGAUGAUUUUGAUGCAGUGUUAGCUGCAGCAUCUUCUGGAUUUGUUGAAACAGAAAGAGAUGCACUGGUAAGAAAAGGAAUAUUAACUCCCUUCCACAAGCUCAAAGGCUUCGAACGUCGGAUCGAUGGUGCAGA